AAUGAGCCUCGUGCUGGAUUCCGAAGACGACCGUCCGUGUGUCAUCCGCUUUCCAUUGUGCAGGAGCUCCUUUUUGCUACUAAGAGAAUGGUGGAUGCAAACCAUGGCAACAGAAUGAGCCCCUCAUUGUGAGCGCGCGCCUCUCAGAAGGAUCGCAGUGAACUGACCUGAGCUGACAUCCCGACCCGACAGAUACAGCAUGAAGACCCUCCUGGCAAUAUUGGUCCUCGCUCUGCACGUCGCCUGCGCGACCGAAGUAGGGAAGAUUCAGGGGACCAUUGGAGCAUACUGUGUGAGCUGCAAUCCCUUGUGUAAACCUCCCUGCUACAGCUUUUACAGGCAUUGUGCAUGUGACGAAGUAAGAGAUUCUCAGGAGGUCUUCUCGUGAUUACAGCGGCAAUAUCUACGGAUAUCUGUUGUUCUAGGAAGAAUUGUGUACAAUAAAAAUUGGAUUUUUAUUUU